rnacentral:piRNA from 1 species
CUCACUUGUAUCAAACAUUUGUUUGCUGAC